ACAUCAGCCUGAACACAACAAUUAUUACCACCACCAUUACCAUCGGUAACGGGGCGGGCUGACGCGUACAGGAAAAACAGAAAAAAGCCCGCACCUAAACAGUGCGGGCUUUUUUUUU
rfam:Serratia sp. Leaf50 contig_2, whole genome shotgun sequence.